AUGAACGCUAGCUACAGGCUUAACACAUGCAAGUCGAGGGGCAGCAUGAACUUAGCUUGCUAAGUUUGAUGGCGACCGGCGCACGGGUGAGUAACACGUAUCCAACCUGCCGAUGACUCGGGGAUAGCCUUUCGAAAGAAAGAUUAAUACCCGAUGGCAUAGUUCUUCCGCAUGGUGGAACUAUUAAAGAAUUUCGGUCAUCGAUGGGGAUGCGUUCCAUUAGGUUGUUGGCGGGGUAACGGCCCACCAAGCCUUCGAUGGAUAGGGGUUCUGAGAGGAAGGUCCCCCACAUUGGAACUGAGACACGGUCCAAACUCCUACGGGAGGCAGCAGUGAGGAAUAUUGGUCAAUGGACGAGAGUCUGAACCAGCCAAGUAGCGUGAAGGAUGACUGCCCUAUGGGUUGUAAACUUCUUUUAUACGGGAAUAAAGUGAGGCACGCGUGCCUUUUUGUAUGUACCGUAUGAAUAAGGAUCGGCUAACUCCGUGCCAGCAGCCGCGGUAAUACGGAGGAUCCGAGCGUUAUCCGGAUUUAUUGGGUUUAAAGGGAGCGUAGGCGGACGCUUAAGUCAGUUGUGAAAGUUUGCGGCUCAACCGUAAAAUUGCAGUUGAUACUGGGUGUCUUGAGUACAGUAGAGGCAGGCGGAAUUCGUGGUGUAGCGGUGAAAUGCUUAGAUAUCACGAAGAACUCCGAUUGCGAAGGCAGCCUGCUGGACUGUAACUGACGCUGAUGCUCGAAAGUGUGGGUAUCAAACAGGAUUAGAUACCCUGGUAGUCCACGCUGUAAACGAUGAUUACUAGGUGUGGGGGGACUGACCCCUUCCGUGCCGCAGUUAACACAAUAAGUAAUCCACCUGGGGAGUACGACCGCAAGGUUGAAACUCAAAGGAAUUGACGGGGGCCCGCACAAGCGGAGGAACAUGUGGUUUAAUUCGAUGAUACGCGAGGAACCUUACCCGGGCUUGAAUUGCAACUGAAUGAUGUGGAGACAUGUCAGCCGCAAGGCAGUUGUGAAGGUGCUGCAUGGUUGUCGUCAGCUCGUGCCGUGAGGUGUCGGCUUAAGUGCCAUAACGAGCGCAACCCUUAUCGAUAGUUACCAUCAGGUUAUGCUGGGGACUCUGUCGAGACUGCCGUCGUAAGAUGUGAGGAAGGUGGGGAUGACGUCAAAUCAGCACGGCCCUUACGUCCGGGGCUACACACGUGUUACAAUGGGGGGUACAGAAGGCAGCUACACGGCGACGUGAUGCUAAUCCCGAAAGCCUCUCUCAGUUCGGAUUGGAGUCUGCAACCCGACUCCAUGAAGCUGGAUUCGCUAGUAAUCGCGCAUCAGCCACGGCGCGGUGAAUACGUUCCCGGGCCUUGUACACACCGCCCGUCAAGCCAUGAAAGCCGGGGGUACCUGAAGUGCGUAACCGCGAGGAGCGCCCUAGGGUAAAACUGGUGAUUGGGGCU
rnacentral:rRNA from 1 species